GCUCUCAGCGGCCAAGAGGGAUUCCUCCCAGUCGGUGAGAGUGUACAUGAGAUUGUACUCUUUCACAGGCCAAGAGGAAUCCCUCUUGGUCAAUGAGGGU
rnacentral:miRNA from 1 species